GGAGGGAUCAUUGUCGGUACCUGCAAAGCAGAACGACCCGCGAACCGUCUUCCAAUGCCCGGGAUGCCGGGGGGCGUCCAGCCGCUCGGCAGCCCGAAGCUUCGGACGCUGAGGGUGCAACCCACCACCGGCGGACGGAGCUCCAAAUAAACCCCGGCGCGCGAAGCGCCAAGGUACAUGAACGAUAGGGCAUGCGCCCGUAGCCCUGGGUUCCAGUGCGCUCGGGCUGCUGUUCAACGUCAUAAUAAGUCUAAACGACUCUCGGCAACGGAUAUCUCGGCUCUCGCAUCGAUGAAGAACGUAGCGAAAUGCGAUACUUGGUGUGAAUUGCAGAAUCCCGUGAACCAUCGAGUCUUUGAACGCAAGUUGCGCCCGAAGCCUCGGCUGAGGGCACGUCUGCCUGGGUGUCACACAUCGCGUUGCCUCCAGAUCCUUCACCCCUCGAACGUUGCGGUGAUGAUCCGGAUGCGGAAGCUGGCCUCCCGUGACCGCGCGUCACGGAUGGCCCAAACACGUGCUGGGGGAACCGAACCGCCACGGCUUUCGUGGGCCAAUCUAAGCCCCAAAAGCAGUGCCGGCGGGUGCCGCAUAUGUCCCCAGCCCACGACCCUAAACGUUAACCGACGCGACCUCAGGUCAGGCGGGGCUACCCGCUGAGUUUAAGCAUAUCAAAAAGCGGGAAGAAA
rnacentral:rRNA from 1 species